AUUGAACGCUGGCGGCAGGCCUAACACAUGCAAGUCGAACGAGUGGCGGACGGGUGAGUAAUGUCUGGGAAACUGCCCGAUGGAGGGGGAUAACUACUGGAAACGGUAGCUAAUACCGCAUACCAUCGGAUGUGCCCAGAUGGGAUUAGCGAGUAGGUGGGGUAACGGCUCACCUAGGCGACGAUCCCUAGCUGGUCUGAGAGGAUGACCAGCCACACUGGAAUUGAGGCACGGUACAGACUCCGACGGGAGGCAGCAGUGGGGAAUAUUGCAGAAUGGGCGCAAGCCUGAUGCAGCCAUGCCGCGUGUAUGAAGAAGGCCUUCGGGUUGUAAAGUACUUUCAGCGAGGAGGCGUUACUCGGAGAAGAAGCACCGGCUAACUCCGUGCCAGCAGCCGCGGUAAUUC
rnacentral:rRNA from 1 species